GUUCUGUUUGGCAGCACAUAUACUAAAAUUGGGAUAAUACAAAGAAGAUUAGUAUGACCCCUGGAGAAGGAGUACUCUAAUUUUUAUAAAUGAUAACAUUUUUGU